rnacentral:rRNA from 1 species
CCUACGGGAGCAGCAGUGGGGAAUUUUGGACAAUGGGCGCAAGCCUGAUCCAGCAAUGCCGCGUGGGUGAAGAAGGCCUUCGGGUUGUAAAGCUCUUUUGUCAGGGAAGAAACGGCUGAGGUUAAUACCUUCGGCUAAUGACGGUACCUGAAGAAUAAGCACCGGCUAACUACGUGCCAGCAGCCGCGGUAAUACGUAGGGUGCAAGCGUUAAUCGGAAUUACUGGGCGUAAAGCGUGCGCAGGCGGUUUUGUAAGUCUGACGUGAAAUCCCCGGGCUCAACCUGGGAAUUGCGUUGGAGACUGCAAGGCUGGAGUCUGGCAGAGGGGGGUAGAAUUCCACGUGUAGCAGUGAAAUGCGUAGAGAUGUGGAGGAACACCGAUGGCGAAGGCAGCCCCCUGGGUCAAGACUGACGCUCAUGCACGAAAGCGUGGGGAGCAAACAGGAUUAGAUACCCUGGUAGUCCCACGACCUAACCGACUGUCUACUAGUUGUCGGUCGUUAUUAGUACGUUGUACGUACAGCUACGCGUGAGUAGACCGCCGUGGGAGGUACGGUCGCGAAGUAAGUUAAACGUUACGAAGUAAGUUAGUUAGACGNGNGAGAGCGACGACGACGACGACGGAGGAGGAG